rnacentral:ncRNA from 12 species
AUCCUUUUGUGCUUCAUAAACAUGAUGACUGAGAGUUCACGCCAUUGUGAGAUGUGCCUCCCUUGAGCCUUGUUACGACGUUGGCACAGUACCCAUCUGACA